UACGUAGGGUGCGAGCGUUAAUCGGAAUUACUGGGCGUAAAGCGAGCGCAGACGGUUACUUAAGCAGGAUGUGAAAUCCCCGGGCUCAACCUGGGAACUGCGUUCUGAACUGGGUGACUAGAGUGUGUCAGAGGGAGGUAGAAUUCCACGUGUAGCAGUGAAAUGCGUAGAGAUGUGGAGGAAUACCGAUGGCGAAGGCAGCCUCCUGGGAUAACACUGACGUUCAUGCUCGAAGCGUGGUAGCAACAGGAUUAGAUACC
rnacentral:rRNA from 1 species